AUGAACUGUAUGCGGUUUCGAGGAAAAUUCCGACUAUUCUCGAACAAGAGGCUGAAGUGGUUCACGGAACUCUUUGUUUACAACGAACCGACGAUAUUUUUAUAUCCGACGGUGGUUCGAGUCUGCUCACCGCAAAGACGCAAGACAACUGCCACAAAGUACCCAGCAAGACAUCCGUACGUGUCCACCAGGGAAGGCCAAUGGACCACUGUCAACAGUUGCGGGAACAGCACCACGUAAACGAGAUCGGAGCUGAGAUAAUAAACGCUGUCCACCGUAAGGGCGAUUGCGGUUGACAGUACCGUGAUCACGACCAUAGAGAUCCUGAGUAUCCAGUUAAGCUCCCUGUCGGACGCCUGAAACGAUCCAGAAG